GUACACUCCUGCGGGAGGCAGCAGUGGGGAAUUUUGGACAAUGGGCGAAAGCCUGAUCCAGCAAUGCCGCGUGUGUGAAGAAGGCCUUCGGGUUGUAAAGCACUUUUGUCCGGAAAGAAAUCCUUGGCUCUAAUACAGUCGGGGGAUGACGGUACCGGAAGCAUAAGCACCGGCUAACUACGUGCCAGCAGCCGCGGUAAUACGUAGGGUGCGAGCGUUAAUCGGAAUUACUGGGCGUAAAGCGUGCGCAGGCGGUUUGCUAAGACCGAUGUGAAAUCCCCGGGCUCAACCUGGGAACUGCAUUGGUGACUGGCAGGCUAGAGUAUGGCAGAGGGGGGUAGAAUUCCACGUGUAGCAGUGAAAUGCGUAGAGAUGUGGAGGAAUACCGAUGGCGAAGGCAGCCCCCUGGGCCAAUACUGACGCUCAUGCACGAAAGCGUGGGGAGCAAACAGGAUUAGAAACCCCUGUAGUCCCA
rnacentral:rRNA from 1 species